UACAGAGGUCUCAACCGUUGUUCGGAUUCAUUGGGCGUAAAGGGUGCGUAGGCGGUCGUGCAAGUCGGAUGUGAAAUCUCAGGGCUCAACCCUGAAACUGCAUUCGAUACUGCGCGGCUAGAGUCCUGGAGGGGAGACUGGAAUUUACGGUGUAGCAGUGAAAUGCGUAGAUAUCGUAAGGAAGACCAGUGGCGAAGGCGAGUCUCUGGACAGCAACUGACGCUGAGGCACGAAGGCCAGGGGAGCAAACGGG
rnacentral:rRNA from 1 species